rnacentral:misc_RNA from 1 species
AGCAGCCUCAACUGUUUUCUCCGCUAACUAAAGUAACGCCUAUUUUAUUAUCUUGAACGUGUCUUUCAGAAUUUUAUAGUGCUCUAUAGGAGGCUACAUUUGAGUUACAUCUCUGUUUGGACAGACGAAAAUAUUAUUCAAGAGCUCAUGAGAUUGCAAUCAAAUAUUUUGGUCCAAGACCUCUUUCAGUUCUGGUUUAUCUGAUCCUUGUUGGAAAAGGACCUGUCUUUCUUUUCAACCAAGCGUACACAUGCUAGGAAUAUGGCUAAAUUUAUACCUGGAAGCAGACAAUGAAACAAUGAGAGAAGGGGGGAGGAGGGUGGCUAGAAGCAGGAAAUUGAGCAAAAUGACAAAUAUUUUCAUUGUCGACUGUCAUUAGUCUCUUUUUUUUUAAAAAAAAAAUUCUGUUGUUUUCUGGGAAAAUUCCAUUAGGCAAACAUUGUCUCUACAUAGAAG